UAUCUCAUCUGUCUUCCACACCAUCCUGCUUCUCUGGGCCCUUCUUGCUGUCUCCCUUAAAAGAUUACUUCCUAGACAAACUGGAGAAGACCCUGAUAUACUGAGACCAGAUAAGGAGUUGACUGCCUGUAGGAAAAAAAAAAAACUGGACCUGCCCACAUUGCCUGCAGGCUACAAGGAAAAUGGAGAUGUCAGCCAGGGGUGGGUGAGGAGGGCCAGGCGGAGAGAUCCAAGUUGCUCCCCCAUAUUUAGUGAGUACCUGUGUUGUUUAGUGCAAUUUACUAAGUGCUGGAGAGAGUACAAUACCAAUGAAGUACAGUGAAGAAGCCGUAUUAUCCUGUCUGCGUCGCCGGCCGGGCAGCUGUCCCUGCAGCCCCAUAUUGCAGGGGGGAUGCGGGGGCAGCCCGGUGAGGCGGGGCAGGGAAACUGGGUGUGAGGAGGUGGGGCUGGAGGUCUGAACAACUAAGCCGCACUGCCACUAGGUGCCCCCUGAUUCUGAAUGGGAGCACCAUUGCAGGGGGGACAGUGGCAGUGCCGCGAGGGAGGGCAAAGGAGCAUUAUUUGUUUCUCCUGGGUCUCCUCACCUCUCUAUUUUCCCUUCCCCUAUUCGCCUUCCUUUUUUUCGAUCCUCGACCACAGCCUCCCUACCAUCCUGCUCUGGAAUUCAUCGCCUGCCUGCUGACAGCCAGCCCGGGACAAGCCUGCUUCAUCAUUCCUCGGCACCUCAGCCGAGACAACUCCAGCCUCUCAUCCAGGGUGUUCCCUGGGCCUCCAGUUGUCACCUUCUUUCCUCUUUAUCUCGCCUCUCUUCCAUGCCAUCUUUCUUCUCUAGGCCCUUCCUGCUGUCUCCCCAAAACGAGAACUUCUUAGACAAACUGGAGAAGACCCGGACAUCCUGAGACCAGACAAGGAGCUGACUGCCUGUAGAAAAAAUAAGUAUCUCUAAUGGGGUCUGGGAAUGGAGGACAUGCUAACAUUAUUCUAUCAAAAUCUUCCUCUGAAAUCCUUGUUCCUAGCAAUGAAGUAUACCUUACCUCAGAAACCUCUCUAUCAAACUUACUAUCUAACACACCAGAGAAAUGUACUGGUACCUUCCCUCACAGAAUAUUUGCCCAAUCCAUUUUCAGUGGAAAAAACUGAAGUUAGUGUCUUUUCAUACUGUAAAAUUUUUAGUCAGGGCUAGACAGAAGGUGUUGUCAGUCUGAAGACAAUAAAUAGAAUAAUGUAAUAGAAUAGGGAAUGAGGUUUCCUAGAAAAUAAUAAAUAGGGUAUUUAAAUUAGGUCAAAAGGAAUUGCAGUGUAAAUUUCCAAGGGAAAUUUACCUGAAACACCAAAUAGAGUACUGCAUUGUAAACAGCUGUGAUUUUCAGGAGUUCUCUCCCCUGACUACUGGUUUGGGUAAGUGUUGUGAGGAUUUUGCUAAACAUGAGAGAGAAAAGAAAAUUCUACCCCAAAACAAUCCUGUAAUGACACUAAUAAGGAAAGGAUUUGGAGUAGGUUCCCCACCUCCUCUUGUCGAGGAAAGUGAAGGUGUGGCUUUGCUCUCAAACCCAGUUUGGUUCUUUUCAGAAACUGCAACUCCCCACAUGGCCUGAAGACUUCAAGGAAGAAUGGAGAUGUCAGCCGGGGGUGGGUGAGGAGGGCCAGGCAGAGAGAUGCCAGCUGCACCCCAGCAAAGGACUGGAAC